rnacentral:lncRNA from 1 species
GGCCAAUAAUCAAAAAUCUAAGUACAUUUUUAGAUUCAGCAUAUCAAAGAACCCCAAGGAUUCAAUUUUUGUUAAAAUAAAACUAAGUUUAAUUUUGGACCCUUUGGACCUUAAUGUAGACCAAUUUGAAAACGGGACCAAAAAUUAAGAAUCUACAUACACAGUUAGAUUCGGCAUAUCAAAGAACCCCAAUUUUUCAAUUUUUG